AAGGCUCUUUCAAGUAACCAGCCACGAUUUGUACCCUUGGAGCAUAGGUAACACCGAGAGUGCCCUUCUCUUCCCACCUUCCUGCCCACGUCUGCCUGAACAGCUGGCGGCUCUGAGAUGAAAUACCCUUGCACCCAGAAGGUCUAUGCAGCUCUCAGCACAAGGAUUCCAGCCAGUGAUGGUCGAGGACAGGGGCCACACGACCCUGAUUAAACCCCUCUGAGGAUCCCGGGCUGCCCACAAUCUUCGGGUAAGCACGACACCCUGAACCAUGAGAGCGCAUUGCUUUGCCCCUUACAUGUCUGAUGACAGGACCUCAGCAGAGGAGAGAUUUCUGAGCCAGGGCCCAGCCUGAGGGACCAGGACUGCCUCAUCUUUCCGUUUUCAUAAGUCUCCAAGGCCAGCCUCCUCAGCAAGGGAAGGAAGCAAGGCCCCUGCAGGCUCUCAUAUCCUUACCUCUCGCAAACCGACCAAAUCCCUUGUUCCAGCUGCAGUUUCAAAAUAGCCCAGGGAAUAGCUCUGAGUGACCUGGCUUGGGUGGUGUGACCACCUGGGACCAAUCAGCUGCUGCAGGGGUGGGGUGGGGACAGGCAAGAUGAUUGUGGCCUCUGCCAGGCCCAUGAGGCUGGAGUGAGGAAGCAGCAAUUCCCCAAAAAGAGCAUGUGUGUGUGUGGGGGUUCUGUUUCCAGAAGGGGGUCAGGGGGCAACAGGCAAAGCACAACAGGAAAAGCUUAGAGGAGGAGGUGGCAUUUGCAUGGGCUUCGAAGGGUGGGGAGCACUCCAAUGCACAGGAAGAGGACAGGAGAGCCACAGCAGGAGGAAUGGUGUAGACACAGGCCCUGCGGUAUAUCUGGGGCAGGGGGGAUCCUCGGGUGCAGCUGCACCGUGGGGUCUAUAGUCAGGGGGCCAGACACCAGAACCACGUCUCUGCUAGCUGGCUCGGUGCUCUUGGGAAAAGGUGCCCUCCUGGGCUAGCUCAGUCCCGGUGCAGGUGGCAUGGUGAAUGAGUGCAGAAUGGGUUCUGGCCAGAUGGUGUUGUGUACAGCGCGUGCAACCAUGGGCGGCAGCCCCAACCAGGAUGUCGGGACUGGACUGGGCAGACCCUGUCAGCCCGUGGAGGCCUCCUCUCUGGAGGAGAGCCUCUCUGUGUCCUGCAGAGCCUGACCAGGACCCAGCCCUCCUGCAGCAACAACAUGAAAAUGGGAGCAAGGAUGACAGCCCCCCCAGCUGAUGGGUGAGAAGCCCCAGCUGAUGGGCAGGCAGCUCUGUGCAGCCUCCUCGAAGCAGGCAGAGGGCAGAGCCCCAAGAAGCAAUUCAGCAGCCACGUGGGCCUGCGUGGACUCCCACUCUGUUCGGGGGCCUUAGGACUUCUGCCGCCCAGUGGAUAGGCCUCUGAUUCCUUCCCAGCCCACCAAGAGGCCAGAGGCAGCACCACCCGCCAAUUACAGGAGCCAAUUAAUUCGCACUUAACGGGGAUAUUUUCUUUUAGUGCGCAGAACCGAGGGGCAUAAAACCCUGAUUCCUCUUCUGUGGUUCAAUCCUGCUCUCCGUGUGCUCAUAGCAUUUAAUAACUCCUGCCGCAGACUGAGGGCCAAAUCUGCGCAGGGCGCAGGGAAGCCAAGAGGGCAAGUCCCCAUCAACAAUCUGGUGAGGAGGCCACUGCCGUCUGUGCUGUUCCCUUUCCCCUCUGCAGCUCCCAGAAGUUGCCAUAAAAACAGAUGUAAGUAAUCAAAGACUUCUCAGCGCCCGAACAGCUCUGCUCCUGAAGGCGUCCAUGGAGCCUGCUCCCUCUCUGCCGGGGUUUGUGGCUCCAAAAGACUCCUAAACCAGCCCUCAAAUCUCUCCCUAGGAAGGAAGACUCCUCCUUGCCUGCAGAUCUGCAAUCAUUUGUCGAGUAUUUUAUGGUCAAUAAUAAUAGUAAUAACGCCUCGGCUGUCCUGAUGUCUUUUCUAAUGAUGCUCAGAGCACAUGGUGUGGGACCCUUACAGCAUCAGAGUGGCUGAUGAGCAAGGGGUCUCAUCCCCACUUUGGGGAUGGAAAGAGGGCGGUACACUGACGGGGCCAGCCUCAGCGCCAUCUCCCCCAGAGUCUAAAUGCUCCAGGACAAAGGUGGGAGUUGUCCUCUUCCUUGGCAGGCCUGCUGCUGGCCUUUUCCCGCAUUCCUUGUGCAGUGUACCUUACCAAGUGCCCCGGAGCCUGUAGCUCAGCGAUGGGGGCGGAUGGAGCCAGAAUGCCGAGUGUGACGCUGAUUAAUCAUCCUGAUUUUAGGCAAUCUUACUGUUCCGAAGGCCUGGCCCAGCCCACACGUUUUACAGGUGGGACUCUCAGGGCUAACGCCAGGACGCCUGGCCAGCCCCUGGAGGACCCAAGCCUCAGGCUUCCCCGCCCACACUCCCUGCAUUUCACCACAUUAGUGCCAGCAUGAGCUGAGUGGUGAACAAAAAAGUGUGGAACAAAAAAGCCCAGACUGUACAUGUGUGGGGUUGGGUCUCCAGUCUCUAGUUGUUCCUGAAAGUUGCCCUUUCAGGGGAAUU